GGGUUGUGAGGUUAAGCGACUAAGCGUACACGGUGGAUGCCCUGGCAGUCAGAGGCGAUGAAGGACGUGCUAAUCUGCGAAAAGCGCCGGCGAGGUGAUAUGAACCUUUGACCCGGCGAUGUCCGAAUGGGGAAACCCAGUGCAAUUCGUUGCACUAUCGUUAACUGAAUACAUAGGUUAACGAGGCGAACCGGGGGAACUGAAACAUCUAAGUACCCCGAGGAAAAGAAAUCAACCGAGAUUCCCCCAGUAGCGGCGAGCGAACGGGGAGCAGCCCAGAGUCUGAAUCAGCUUGUGUGUUAGUGGAAGCGUCUGGAAAGUCGCACGGUACAGGGUGACAGUCCCGUACACGAAAGCACACAGGCUGUGAACUCGAAGAGUAGGGCGGGACACGUGGUAUCCUGUCUGAAUAUGGGGGGACCAUCCUCCAAGGCUAAAUACUCCUGACUGACCGAUAGUGAACCAGUACCGUGAGGGAAAGGCGAAAAGAACCCCGGCGAGGGGAGUGAAAAAGAACCUGAAACCGUGUACGUACAAGCAGUGGGAGCACCUUCGUGGUGUGACUGCGUACCUUUUGUAUAAUGGGUCAGCGACUUAUAUUCUGUAGCAAGGUUAACCGUAUAGGGGAGCCGAAGGGAAACCGAGUCUUAACUGGGCGUUAAGUUGCAGGGUAUAGACCCGAAACCCGGUGAUCUAGCCAUGGGCAGGUUGAAGGUUGGGUAACACUAACUGGAGGACCGAACCGACUAAUGUUGAAAAAUUAGCGGAUGACUUGUGGCUGGGGGUGAAAGGCCAAUCAAACCGGGAGAUAGCUGGUUCUCCCCGAAAGCUAUUUAGGUAGCGCCUCGUGAACUCAUCUUCGGGGGUAGAGCACUGUUUCGGCUAGGGGGCCAUCCCGGCUUACCAACCCGAUGCAAACUACGAAUACCGAAGAAUGUUAUCACGGGAGACACACGGCGGGUGCUAACGUCCGUCGUGAAGAGGGAAACAACCCAGACCGCCAGCUAAGGUCCCAAAGUCAUGGUUAAGUGGGAAACGAUGUGGGAAGGCACAGACAGCCAGGAUGUUGGCUUAGAAGCAGCCAUCAUUUAAAGAAAGCGUAAUAGCUCACUGGUCGAGUCGGCCUGCGCGGAAGAUGUAACGGGGCUAAACCAUGCACCGAAGCUGCGGCAGCGACGCGUAUGCGUUGUUGGGUAGGGGAGCGUUCUGUAAGCCGUUGAAGGUGUGCUGUGAGGCAUGCUGGAGGUAUCAGAAGUGCGAAUGCUGACAUAAGUAACGAUAAAGCGGGUGAAAAGCCCGCUCGCCGGAAGACCAAGGGUUCCUGUCCAACGUUAAUCGGGGCAGGGUGAGUCGACCCCUAAGGCGAGGCCGAAAGGCGUAGUCGAUGGGAAACAGGUUAAUAUUCCUGUACUUGGUGUUACUGCGAAGGGGGGACGGAGAAGGCUAUGUUAGCCGGGCGACGGUUGUCCCGGUUUAAGCAUGUAGGCGGAGGUUCCAGGUAAAUCCGGUACCUUUU
rnacentral:rRNA from 1 species